CGGUUGAUCCUGCCGGAGGUUACUGCUAUCGGAGUUCGAUUAAGCCAUGCGAGUCUAAAGGUUUCUUCGGAAACCUUGGCGGACGGCUCAGUAACACGUGGAUAACCUGCCCUUGGGUCUGGGAUAACCCCGGGAAACUGGGGAUAAUACCGGAUAGAUCAGGGAUGCUGGAAUGCGCCUUGAUCGAAAGCUCCGGCGCCCAAGGAUGGGUCUGCGGCCUAUCAGGUUGUAGUGGGUGUAACGUACCUACUAGCCGACGACGGGUACGGGUUGUGAGAGCAAGAGCCCGGAGAUGGAUUCUGAGACACGAAUCCAGGCCCUACGGGGUGCAGCAGGCGCGAAACCUUUACAAUGUGCGAAAGCAUGAUAAGGGAACUCCGAGUGCCAGUAUCUAAUACUGGCUGUCCUUGUGCCUAAACCGCACAAGAUAGCAAGGGCCGGGUAAGACCGGUGCCAGCCGCCGCGGUAACACCGGCGGCCCGAGUGGUAGCCGCUAUUAUUGGGUCUAAAGGGUCCGUAGCCGGUUCGAUAAGUCCUCUGGGAAAUCUGGUUGCUUAACAAUCAGACUGCCAAGGGAUACUGUCGAACUUGAGACCGGGAGAGGUAAGAGGUACUUCAGGGGUAGGAGUGAAAUCUUGUAAUCCCUGGGGGACCAUCUGUGGCGAAGGCGUCUUACCAGAACGGGUCUGACGGUGAGGGACGAAAGCUGGGGGCGCAAACCGGAUUAGAUACCCGGGUAGUCCCAGCCGUAAACGAUGCUCGCUAUGUGUCAGGUACGGUGUGACCGUAUCUGGUGCCGUAGGGAAGCCGUGAAGCGAGCCACCUGGGAAGUACGGUCGCAAGACUGAAACUUAAAGGAAUUGGCGGGGGAGCAC
rnacentral:rRNA from 1 species